GACGAACGCUGGCGGCGUGCUUAACACAUGCAAGUCGAACGGGAUCCAUGGAGUAGCAAUACUCCGGAAGAUCUAGUGGCGAACGGGUGAGUAACACGUGAGCAACCUGCCCCAAAGACUGGGAUAACUCCGGGAAACCGGAGCUAAUACCGGAUGCCCUCAUCGGGUCGCAUGGCCUGAUGAGGAAAUGAAUUUUGCUUUGGGAGGGGCUCGCGGGAUAUCAGGNGUUGGUGGGGUAACGGCCUACCAAGCCAUCGACGUCUAGCUGGUCUGAGAGGACGAUCAGCCACACUGGGACUGAGACACGGCCCAGACUCCUACGGGAGGCAGCAGUGGGGAAUCUUGCGCAAUGCGCGAAAGCGUGACGC
rnacentral:rRNA from 1 species